rnacentral:tRNA from 1 species
GGGAGUGUGCCGGAAUUGGUCUACGGAACGGACUUAAAAUCCGUCGAGCUGCAAAGCUCUUGUGGGUUCAAGUCCCACCGCUCCUA